rnacentral:rRNA from 1 species
AACCAGCACCUCAAGUGGUCAGGAUGAUUAUUGGGCCUAAAGCAUCCGUAGCCUGUUCUGUAAGUUUUCGGUUAAAUCUAUGCGCUCAACGUAUAGGCUGCCGAAAAUACUGCAGAACUAGGGAGUGGGAGAGGUAGACGGUACUCGGUAGGAAGGGGUAAAAUCCUUUGAUCUAUUGAUGACCACCUGUGGCGAAGGCGCCACACUAGAACGGAUCCGACGGUCAGGGACGAAGCCUAGGGGCACGAACCGG